AGAGUUUGAUCAUGGCUCAGAAUGAACGCUGGCGGCGCGCCUAAUACAUGCAAGUCGAGCGAGAAGACGUAGCAAUACGUUUGUAAAGCGGCGAACGGGUGAGGAAUACAUGGGUAACCUACCCUCGAGUGGGGAAUAACUAGCCGAAAGGUUAGCUAAUACCGCGUACGCUCCUUGGACUUCGGUUCAGGGAGGAAAGCGCUACCGUGGGUAGCGCGCUCUUGGAUGGGCUCAUGUCCUAUCAGCUUGUUGGUGAGGUAACGGCUCACCAAGGCUUCGACGGGUAGCUGGUCUGAGAGGACGACCAGCCACACUGGCACUGCGACACGGGCCAGACUCCUACGGGAGGCAGCAGUAAGGAAUAUUGCGCAAUGGGCGAAAGCCUGACGCAGCGACGCCGCGUGGGGGAUGAAGGUCUUCGGAUUGUAAACCCCUUUCGGGAGGGAAGAUGGAAUGGGGUAACCCAUUUGGACGGUACCUCCAGAAGCAGCCACCGAAUGCC
rnacentral:rRNA from 1 species